UGUGUGUGUGCGUUCCACUAUCGCCCUCUUUAUUUUAUGCGCUGUACCCUUCAUUGCCUGUAUCCGCGCAUGACAUCUGUAGCGCAUUAACACGCUCCUUCUCUCUCUGUGCACAUACACGCGGUGACCUUCCCCUUAUACUGCUUUUUAUGCCGUGUAGCUGCUCCACCCACACCCCAACCCCGCACUUAGGCUGUACACUCGUGCACACCAAUCAGCGUCGUAUCCGCGCGUCUUCUCCCCCCGCUCCUUUUCGCUGCCUUUUUUUGCGCGCAGCUAUUUUUCACCCACUCGCAACGAGCCGACCUUUGGCUUUGCCUCCUUCUCUUGUGUGUCUCUGGCACCUUUUCCCACCUCCCCUCUUUGACUCCCGCUCUUGCAUACGCAUCCCCACACCUUCGUCCGCACGAUCGUGUUGCCGAGAAGCAGUGCCCGAUUGCAGCAUCAACGCAAGACACAGGCGAACCCCCCCUCCCCACAAACACAUUCGCAUAGAGUGGGGACGACGUGGUAGAGUCGUCCCGUGGAAGGCCACACGCGAGGAGUGGAGGCUUUCGAUUUUCUCUCUUGUUGGUGCAUUUCUUCGCGCCCAUUGUGUGUUUCUCCUGUCUUUACUCUGGCCAGGACAUUGCUCGUCUUCUUUUCCCGUGCUGCCAGUGGCCUCUUCCCUUGUUUACUUGCUGACACUGCUUGCCAUCUCUCUCCGCUCUCCACGAGUCCCACUCUCGCUGUCUUUUUUUUUGCCACCGCUGCUGUGGCGUGAGGUAAAUUCUUCGCUGCACUGCGCACACGCGCUUAAUCGUUCUCGCUUUCUGUUAUUCGACUAGCCUACCUUCUCUGUCUUCCGCUGCUCUUCUUGCCGUGCGUCUGUGUCUGUGUGAGCGUUGCUGACUUCUUUUUUGUGGGGGUGGGGUGGUGGACUCGCUAUCUCUCUCUGUGUGUUUGGUCCGGUCUUUCCUUCCCACCGUGCCUCAUCAUUGAGGAGGAAGCGGGAAGCAGCGAGAGAGGGGGAGAGACACAUACGGCUCACGCGGCGUUAAGCGCUGAACAAG
rnacentral:misc_RNA from 1 species